UCGUUACGAAGAGUCUUACUUCAAGUGGCGGACGGGUGAGUAACACGUCAAGAAUUUGCCUUUAGGAGGGGGACAACAACUGGAAACGGUUGCUAAUACCCCAUAUGCUUUCGAGUGAAAUGGAUUUUCCGCCUAGAGAGAAGCUUGCGGCUGAUUAGCUUGUUGGUGAGGUAAUGGCUCACCAAGGCGACGAUCAGUAUCUGGUUUGAGAGGACGAUCAGACACACUGGAACUGAGACACGGUCCAGACUCCUACGGGAGGCAGCAGUGGGGAAUUUUCCGCAAUGGGCGAAAGCCUGACGGAGCAAUCUCGCGUGAGGGAUGACGGCCUAUGGGUUGUAAACCUCUUUUUUCAGGGAGGAAUCAAUGACGUGUACCUGAAGAAUAAGCAUCGGCUAACUCCGUGGCAGCAGCCGCGGUAAGACGGAGGAUGCAAGUGUUAUCCGGAAUCACUGGGCGUAAAGCGUCUGUAGGUGGUUUAAUAAGUCACUUGUUAAAUCUUGAAGCUCAACUUCAAAUCGCAGUCGAAACUAUUAGACUAGAGUAUAGUAGGGUAAGGGAAUUUCAGUGAGCGGUGAAUGCGUAAGAUUGGAAAGACACCGAUGGCGAAGCCUUUACUGGGCUAUUACGGACCUCGAGACGAAGCUAGGGUAGCAAAGGGAUAGAUACCCAGUAGUCCUAGCCG
rnacentral:rRNA from 1 species